UACGGAGGGUGCAAGCGUUAAUCGGAAUUACUGGGCGUAAAGCGUGCGUAGGUGGUUCGUUAAGUCCGUUGUGAAAGCCCCGAGCUCAACUUGGGAAUUGCAGUGGAUACUGGCGAGCUAGAGUGCGGUAGAGGAAGGUGGAAUUCCCGGUGUAGCGGUGAAAUGCGUAGAGAUCGGGAGGAACACCAGUGGCGAAGGCGGUUCUCUGGGCCUGUACUGACGCUGAGGAGCGAAAGCGUGGGGAGCGAACAGG
rnacentral:rRNA from 1 species